rnacentral:rRNA from 1 species
UACGGAGGGGGCUAGCGUUGUUCGGAAUUACUGGGCGUAAAGCGCACGUAGGCGGCUUUGUAAGUUAGAGGUGAAAGCCCGGAGCUUAACUCCGGAACUGCCUUUAAGACUGCAUCGCUUGAAUCAUGGAGAGGUCAGUGGAAUUCCGAGUGUAGAGGUGAAAUUCGUAGAUAUUCGGAAGAACACCAGUGGCGAAGGCGACUAACUGGACAUGUAUUGACGCUGAGGUGCGAAAGCGUGGGGAGCAAACAGG